rnacentral:rRNA from 1 species
UACGUAGGGUGCAAGCGUUAAUCGGAAUUAUUGGGCGUAAAGCGCGCGCAGGCGGCUUACUAAGUCUGGUGUGAAAGCCCACGGCUCAACCGUGGAGGGCCAUUGGAAACUGGUAAGCUUGAGUGCAGGAGAGGAGAGCGGAAUUCCUGGUGUAGCGGUGAAAUGCGUAGAUAUCAGGAGGAACACCCGUGGCGAAGGCGGCUCUCUGGCCUGUAACUGACGCUGAGGCGCGAAAGCGUGGGGAGCAAACAGG